rnacentral:rRNA from 1 species
GAUGAACGCUGGCGGCGUGCCUAAUACAUGCAAGUCGAGCGAACGGACGAGAAGCUUGCUUCUCUGAUGUUAGCGGCGGACGGGUGAGUAACACGUGGAUAACCUACCUAUAAGACUGGGAUAACUUCGGGAAACCGGAGCUAAUACCGGAUGAUAUUUUGAACCGCAUGGUUCAAAAGUGAAAGACGGUCUUGCUGUCACUUAUAGAUGGAUCCGCGCUGCAUUAGCUAGUUGGUAAGGUAACGGCUUACCAAGGCAACGAUGCAUAGCCGACCUGAGAGGGUGAUGGGCCACACAGGAACUGAGACACGGUACAGACUCCUACGGGAGGCAGCAGUAGGGAAUCUUCCGCAAUGGGCGAAAGCCUGACGGAGCAACGCCGCGUGAGUGAUGAAGGUCUUCGGAUCGGAAAACUCUGUUAUUAGGGAAGAACAUAUGUGUAAGUAACUGUGCACAUCUUGACGGUACCUAAUCAGAAAGCCACGGCUAACUACGUG